rnacentral:rRNA from 1 species
GUGGGGAAUCUUGCGCAAUGGGCGAAAGCCUGACGCAGCCAUGCCGCGUGAAUGAUGAAGGUCUUAGGAUUGUAAAAUUCUUUCACCGGGGACGAUAAUGACGGUACCCGGAGAAGAAGCUCCGGCUAACUUCGUGCCAGCAGCCGCGGUAAUACGAAGGGGGCUAGCGUUGCUCGGAAUUACUGGGCGUAAAGGGCGCGUAGGCGGACAGCUUAGUCAGAGGUGAAAGCCCAGGGCUCAACCUUGGAAUUGCCUUUGAUACUGGCUGUCUUGAGUUUGGGAGAGGUGAGUGGAACUCCGAGUGUAGAGGUGAAAUUCGUAGAUAUUCGGAAGAACACCAGUGGCGAAGGCGACUCACUGGCUCGAUACUGACGCUGAGGUGCGAAAGCGUGGGGAGCAAACAGGAUUAGAAACCCCAGUAGUCC